rnacentral:sRNA from 1 species
AGCGCGCCCCAGCCUGAGUGGAGCUCUUUUUCUGUUAUUGCGAUUGGGAAAAGUUCAAUUUACUGAGUCACGUCGUUCGCAAUGACAGAAAAAAGCGGGAACGGAGGAUGGAUAAAGGC